rnacentral:lncRNA from 1 species
AAAACGGUUUGGAAGAAGUUUCUGGAUUAUGGAAUGAGAUGGAAUCUGCUGUAACUGGAAGAUUGCUGAUCUCAUAUUCUAACCCCCCCCCCCCCUCCUCAAGAUGGACUAUGGAGAUCCAUCUUGAAGAUUAAGGAAUGGAACAUGGAUGCAAAACAGAUUUUAACAAAACAAUGGCUUCUGCUUCUGAAAAAUGCAAGUUAACUACAGACAACUUCACUCUAGCCUCAAAGCAGACCCCUUUUGCUUGGGGAAACAUCAGGAACUGAGAGACAGAAUGGCCCAAUCUGCAUAAUUGUUAUCAUUGAUGUAUCCACAUCUAGAAAACAUAUGCAUCACAACACAACCCGCCAGGUCCACAACACAACCCGCCAGGUCCAGGGUCGAGUUUUAAAUGUUAGUGGUGAUUAAGUAAGUGCAGACUAUGAAAAUCUUUGACUGAUAAAUGGACUAUUUAAGAUCUGUGGCUGCUUCAACUCUACCCUAUCUUCAUAAAGCACACUACAGACUGCAAGAUACCACAAGGAUCUUUGUUUCAAUUUCUCCACCAUCUUGAAGAUUGAAAUUCCAUAGAGAUUUCUGAAAAUUUCAGAUAACCAAAACUAACUGAAAGAGAAGAGAAGUUUUCAUGUCCAAUACUACGAACAUGAAUGACCUUUGAACUUUGAAGGCUCUGCCAUUAUCAACAACCUUCAGAAAACCAAGAACCGCAACGGGAUUUGGCCCGCCCUUGCUGGAAAUGACAAUCAUAUUACAGUAGAAUGCUGGAAAAACAAAAAGCAGCAGCAGGAAGCAAUUACUGCUUUGAUAACAUGUUAAAUUCUUGAAUUACAAUCCUUGAGUUAAACUCCACAAAAGGAGAAGAACAAAUACAAUGGAAUCCGAAUAAAUUCCAUGAAAGGAGGAAGAUAAACCUUCAUAAAAGGAGGGAUUGGAAU